GAAAUGCGAUAAGUAAUGUGAAUUGCAGAAUUCAGUGAAUCAUCGAAUCUUUGAACGCACAUUGCGCCCGCCAGUAUUCUGGCGGGCAUGCCUGUUCGAGCGUCAUUUCAACCAUCAAGCCCCGGGCUUGUGUUGGGGACCUGCGGCUGCCGCAGGCCCUGAAAACCAGUGGCGGGCUCGCUGUCACACCGAGCGUAGUAGAUUCUCAUCUCGCUCAGGGCGUGCUGCGGGUUCCGGCCGUAAAACAGCCUUAUUUUACCAAGGUUGACCUCGGAUCAGGUAGGAAGACCCGCUGAACUUAAGC
rnacentral:misc_RNA from 1 species